UCUUAUGGAUGAGCAAAGAAAGUGGUUUUUUUGAGAUGGGAUCUAUUCUUGGUGAAGAUGCAGUGAA
rnacentral:pre_miRNA from 1 species